rnacentral:lncRNA from 1 species
UGGGAGGCAACCCACUAUUAGGUAUUUUAUUUUAGUUUUAUUAGCUAGCAUUUAUUUAUUCUCUAUUUUUUUUUUCAGAUUUAGGAGACCCAAGUAGGAGAACCUAAAUAUCGACCGCUGACGAGACGUCGACAUCGCUCGACAUAGACAACCACACAACGAUCGAUGCAACACUUUCCCAUCGAUCGAGAUCUAAUCCGGUCAGAUGUAUCUACCCUACUUGUUACAUUUCGUACAUCGUGAACUAUUCCAUCAUAACUCCGGCUGAGUUACACUGGGACAGUGUAAUUUAAGUCUGGGGGGAGAUUUACUGAUAUAAUUUUUUUUUUUGAACAACAUAUUCUUAUAUAUUAAAUAGUAUAUGGCCAAUACAAAAAUGUUAUAAGCC